rnacentral:rRNA from 1 species
AGAGUUUGAUCCUGGCUCAGGAUGAACGCUAGCUACAGGCUUAACACAUGCAAGUCGAGGGGCAGCGGGAUUGAAGCUUGCUUCAAUUGCCGGCGACCGGCGCACGGGUGAGUAACGCGUAUCCAACCUUCCGCUUACUCGGGGAUAGCCUUUCGAAAGAAAGAUUAAUACCCGAUGGUAUCUUAAGCACGCAUGAGAUUAAGAUUAAAGAUUUAUCGGUAAGCGAUGGGGAUGCGUUCCAUUAGGCAGUUGGCGGGGUAACGGCCCACCAAACCUACGAUGGAUAGGGGUUCUGAGAGGAAGGUCCCCCACAUUGGAACUGAGACACGGUCCAAACUCCUACGGGAGGCAGCAGUGAGGAAUAUUGGUCAAUGGGCGAGAGCCUGAACCAGCCAAGUAGCGUGAAGGAUGACGGCCCUACGGGUUGUAAACUUCUUUUGUGCGGGAAUAAAGGAGCCUACGUGUAGGCUUUUGCAUGUACCGUAACGAAUAAGCAUCGGCUAACUCCGUGCCAGCAGCCGCGGUAAUACGGAGGAUGCGAGCGUUAUCCGGAUUUAUUGGGUUUAAAGGGAGCGUAGACGGGUUUUUAAGUCAGCUGUGAAAGUUUGGGGCUCAACCUUAAAAUUGCAGUUGAAACUGGAGACCUUGAGUACGGUUGAGGCAGGCGGAAUUCGUGGUGUAGCGGUGAAAUGCUUAGAUAUCACGAAGAACCCCGAUUGCGAAGGCAGCCUGCUAAGCCGCCACUGACGUUGAGGCUCGAAAGUGCGGGUAUCAAACAGGAUUAGAUACCCUGGUAGUCCGCACGGUAAACGAUGGAUACUCGCUGUUGGCGAUAGACGGUCAGCGGCCAAGCGAAAGCGUUAAGUAUCCCACCUGGGGAGUACGCCGGCAACGGUGAAACUCAAAGGAAUUGACGGGGGCCCG